CAGCAGCCGCGGUAAUACGGAGGGUGCAAGCGUUAAUCGGAAUUACUGGGCGUAAAACGCACGCAGGCGGUCUGUCAAGUCAGAUGUGAAAUCCCCGGGCUUAACCUGGGAACUGCAUUUGAAACUGGCAGGCUAGAGUCUUGUAGAGGGGGGUAGAAUUCCAGGUGUAGCGGUGAAAUGCGUAGAGAUCUGGAGGAAUACCGGUGGCGAAGGCGGCCCCCUGGACAAAGACUGACGCUCAGGUGCGAAAGCGUGGGGAGCAAACAGGAUUAGAUACCCCUGUAGUCCCUGUCUCUUAUAC
rnacentral:rRNA from 1 species